ensembl:snRNA U6 U6 spliceosomal RNA
GUGCUUGCUUCGGCAGCACAUAUACUAAAAUUGGAAUGAUACAGAGAAGAAUAGCAUGGCCAAAAUUUAAAAAAAUAAUUUAUUUUA